GCCCACCUGUUAGCUGCAGGAGAGGAGGACACCUCACCAGGAAGAUGCUGACUGUCCUCCAGUCCUGCCCCUGCAGCCACACACCUCAGUCUGCCCCUUCUCCUGUAUAUCUCCAAGUUCCCCUGAGUCACCGAGUCACUGUCCUCCGUUGGAGCCCAAGGCACUUCAGGAUGGUUAAUACCUGACAGGCAUUAACUGUUUAUGGAAUGAAUGGAUACAAGACAAUGGAUACUGGUUUAUAAAAACUGGAUGGGACAUUGGACAUCUAUCUACUGGCACAAUCCUCUCAUUUUUCAGUGCAGGCAAGAAGAGACAGGUCACCAGCUUGGCACUCCACCCAAGAGAGUCCUUUGCAAGUUGAAAAUGACUGAAAACAAAAGUUACCCAUAGAAGGAAGAAACCCUGAGCAGAUGAACAGCAAAUAAAAAUGAAACUGGUGAUUCUAUCUCUGGAGAUCUUUGAAUAACAGGCAAUGCCACCACUGGGAUAAGCCCCUGCCUUCAAUCUAGGUGCUCAGUGGUCAUUGGUCCACGAACCAAGCAGGGGCACUCCCAGGAAAUUUACAUGCCGGCACUGGCACCUUGAACAUCUCGGGACUUCCAUGAAUCGAGCUCUUAUUUCUGAGAGGAACCAGAAUUUGGUUAGCAGUUCUAGGUGCCUUUGAAGAGUGUUUGAAAUUAAAAUAUAUGGCUACUAAAACAAAAGGAAAUUCAGUUAGUCUAAGUGGAAAUGGGACCUUAGGACCACCUUAAAUAUACAGAGGGUGCCAAAAAAAACGUGUACACAUUUUAAGAAAG